GAUGAACGCUGGCGGCGUGCUUAACACAUGCAAGUCGAACGAUGAAGCCCAGCUUGCUGGGUGGAUUAGUGGCGAACGGGUGAGUAACACGUGAGUAACCUGCCCUUGACUCUGGGAUAAGCCCGGGAAACUGGGUCUAAUACCGGAUAGGAGCGCCUGUCGCAUGACGGGUGUUGGAAAGAUUUUUCGGUCAUGGAUGGACUCGCGGCCUAUCAGCUUGUUGGUGAGGUAAUGGCUCACCAAGGCGACGACGGGUAGCCGGCCUGAGAGGGUGACCGGCCACACUGGGACUGAGACACGGCCCAGACUCCUACGGGAGGCAGCAGUGGGGAAUAUUGCACAAUGGGCGGAAGCCUGAUGCAGCGACGCCGCGUGAGGGAUGACGGCCUUCGGGUUGUAAACCUCUUUCAGUAGGGAAGAAGCGAAAGUGACGUACCUGCAGAAGA
rnacentral:rRNA from 1 species